ensembl:lncRNA
AUCUUAAAUUAAAUGUUUUAGCAUUGCAGAAAACAGAUUUCAGUGAGUUACUAGUUUUAUGAUCAUGAACAUAUGUUUGAGCUUCUAAGCAUAAAACGCUCAGUUUAGCGCUACUGUGAACAGUAGCACUCUGUUAGUGCAACUAAACAAAUGAACAGAAAGAAAGCCCACAAGUGCUGAAAACCUUCGUUCUCUGUUAGAGUAUGAUGGUUUGUACAAAGUGAAGACUAAAGCUUGCCCACAUUAAAGAUGUUUCUAACAUCUUAAAUGAAAUGUUUUAGCAGUUCAGAAAACAGAUUUCAGUGAGUUACUAGUUUUAUGAUCAUCAACAUAUGUUUGAGCUACUAAGCAUAAAACGCUCAGUUUAGCGCUUCUGUGAACAGAAACACUCUGUUAGUGCAACUAAGCAAAUGAACAGAAAGAAAGCCCACAAGUGCUAGAACCUUCGUUCUCUGUUAGCGAAUGAUAGUUUGUACAAAGUGAAGACUGAAGCUUGCCCACAUUAAAUAUGUUUCUAACAUCUUAAAUGAAAUGUUUUAGCAGUGCAGAAAUCAGAUUUCAGUGAGUUAAUAGUUUUAUGAUCAUGAACAUAUGUUUGAGCUUCUAAGUAUAAAACGCUCAGUUUAGCACUUCUGUGAACAGUAACACUCUGUUAGUGCAACUAAGCAAAUGAACAGAAAGAAAGCCCACAAGUGCUGAAAACCUUCUUUCUCUGUUAUUGAAUGAUAAUGAUGUACAAAGUGAAGACUAAAGCUUGCCCACAUAAAAGAUGUUUCUAACAUCUGUAGUGGAAAAAUUCAUCUGCAUGACUUCUGUAUAACCAUAUAUGCAUAUGUUUUGUUAAAAUUGCUGCGUGGAGACCGUGAGAUGGGUUUAGGGCCUAUGAGUAAUGGGCAACAGGUGAUUCACGGAGCCGUGUGGGUGCAACAGGGAGACACCUGGGGGGAAAACAGAUGUCAGGAUGGCCUGAGAGGCCAUUUGGGCCAUAGAAAUGGGGGAAACAUAUGCCUGAGGAUGACCUGGGGGGGGGGUCAUCCAAGCCCUAAAUGGGGGGGGGACCAACCUUUAGAAGAGUGUGUUUAUGACUUCUUUGUUUUCUAUGGAAAAGUACAGCUGCUAAGAGUAACCUUGACGGGGGAAAAGAGAUAUAAAGCGGAGGACUGCCCUCCCUUCUUUUGUCACACUCUGCAGUGACUUGUGUUUCUGUAUGACUGUCUGACCUUCUUUGCAAAGAAUAAAAGCUUCUUUUUUAAUUAUAAGUUUGAGAGUGAGCCUGUCUCUUAUGCUAAUGAGAAUUGAUUUAAUUUUUGCAACAACACAUCUUAAAUGAAAUGUUUUAGCAAUGCAGAAAACAGAUUUCAGUGAGA